rnacentral:rRNA from 1 species
ACGGGAGGCAGCAGUGGGGGAUAUUGCACAAUGGGGGAAACCCUGAUGCAGCGACGCCGCGUGAGUGAUGAAGUAUUUCGGUAUGUAAAGCUCUAUCAGCAGGGAAGAUAAUGACGGUACCUGACUAAGAAGCACCGGCUAAAUACGUGCCAGCAGCCGCGGUAAUACGUAUGGUGCAAGCGUUAUCCGGAUUUACUGGGUGUAAAGGGAGCGUAGACGGCAAGGCAAGCCAGAUGUGAAAGGCUGGGGCUCAGCCCCGGGACUGCAUUUGGAGCUGUCUAGCUAGAGUAUCGGAGAUGUAAGUGGAAUUCCUAGUGUAGCGGUGAAAUGCGUAGAUAUUAGGAGGAACACCAGUGGCGAAGGCGGCUUACUGGACGAUAACUGACGUUGAGGCUCGAAAGCGUGGGGAGCAAACAGGAUUAGAUACCCUGGUA